AUGAUCGACAUACUAGAAGAGUCUUCUGCUGCUGCUUCUGGGCACAAGAUUGAUAAGGAAGAACCUGCUAGUACAAAUGAUCAUGGUGUUGAUAGGGACGACAUUGCAGCUGAUGGGGCAGCAAACACCACAGGGGGCGGCGGCAUUUCAGAUGUAUUGAAUUCUCAGUAUAAGAAAAGUAUUGAAUGUGAUGAAAAGAGUGAGAAGAGGCAAGAAGAAGAUCUUUUUGAGAAACUAUGGGGGUGGGAAAGGCUGCUACCACUGUGCGGUUCCGUUAAGUGGUCUGACUAUAGCAGCUAUCUUGAGGAGUACUACAAACGCAAUGCUCACGGGUUCAUUGCCGAUGUUGCUGCUGCCAACCAAACUCGCGAAGAUUUGCAGAUCGCCGCUGCUGCUGACAUUUGGGGCGGCAUUUCUGAUGUAUUCAGUUCCCAGUAUACGAAAAACAUUAAACGUGGUGAAAAGGGUGAGGAGAGGAAAGAAGAAGAUCUUUUUGAGAAACUAUGGGGAUGGGAAAGGCUGCUACCACUGUGCGGUUUGGUUAAGUGGUCCGACUAUAGCAACUAUCUUGAGGAGUAUUACAAACGCAAUGCUUCUGAGUUCGUUGCCGAUGCUGCUGACGACCAAAAUCUGGAGGAUUUGCAAAUCGCUGCUACUGCUGACAUGUUUGCUGCUGUUGCCAAAUCUUGUCUCAAGAUGGAGGAGGAACUCUUGUCCGAGUGGAAGACUCGAGUGGAACGUACCUUGGAUGGCACUUUACCAAUCAGCACUAUCAUUCAGAGUAGCCUUAUCAAGCAGUUUGCACUUUCGAUCUGUGGCGCAGGGGGUGAAUUGAGACUGGCUUUUUAG
rnacentral:rRNA from 1 species